AAUUAUUUAUUUUUACAGGGUCUUAUACCGUGUAAAUCAUAUAUAGGAAUUUGAAUAUCUAUAACUAUAUAAGCGAACUACAAUUUGAUUUUUAGGAGGGAGAGGGGGAGGGGGUAGGAUGAAAAAAAAGUGUCCUGCAUUUUAUUUUUAGUUGUAAUCUCUGUGCCCUGCCUUUUAUAUUUUUCACGCUAUUUGGUCCCGCC
rnacentral:lncRNA from 1 species